rnacentral:rRNA from 1 species
ACGCUGGCGGCGCGUCUUAGCAUGCAAGUCGAACGGUAAGGGAGAGCUUGCUCUCCCCUAGAGUGGCGGACUGGUGAGUAACGCGUGGGUGACCUGCCCUGAAGAUGGGGAUAGCUAGUAGAAAUAUUAGAUAAUACCGAAUGUGCUCAUUUACAUAAAGGUAAAUGAGGAAAGGAGCUACGGCUCCGCUUCAGGAUGGGCCCGCGUCCCAUUAGCUGGUUGGUGAGGUAAAGGCCCACCAAGGCAACGAUGGGUAUCCGGCCUGAGAGGGUGAACGGACACAUUGGGACUGAGAUACGGCCCAAACUCCUACGGGAGGCAGCAGCUAAGAAUCUUCCGCAAUGGACGAAAGUCUGACGGAGCGACGCCGUGUGAAUGAAGAAGGCCGAAAGGUUGUAAAAUUCUUUUGCAGAUGAAGAAUAAGAAGAAGAGGGAAUGCUUCUUUGAUGACGGUAGUCAUGCGAAUAAGCCCCGGCUAAUUACGUGCCAGCAGCCACGGUAACACGUAAGGGGCGAGCGUUGUUCGGAAUUAUUGGGCGUAAAGGGUAUGUAGGCGGUUAGGUAAGCCUGGUGUGAAAUCUACGAGCUCAACUCGUAAACUGCAUUGGGUACUGCUUGACUUGAAUCACGGAGGGGAAACCGGAAUUCCAAGUGUAGGGGUGGAAUCUGUAGAUAUUUGGAAGAACACCGGUGGCGAAGGCGGGUUUCUGGCCGAUGAUUGACGCUGAUAUACGAAGGUGCGGGGAGCAAACAGGAUUAGAUACCCCGGUAGUCCGCACAGUAAACGAUGUACACUAGGUGUCGGGGCAAGAGCUUCGGUGCCGACGCAAACGCAUUAAGUGUACCGCCUGGGAAGUAUGCCCGCAAGGGUGAAACUCAAAGGAAUUGACGGGGGCCCCACACAAGCGGUGGAAGCAUGU